GUACAAGUCCAAGGUCUUCAUGUUAGAGAGACACACACGCGCACACAUAUAGAGAGAGAGAGAGAGAGAGAGUUCAUCAUCAAAGUCAUUCCCAAGUCCUCCUCCACCACCACCACCACCACCACAACAACAAUGGAAGAAAAUCACCAUUGUUAUUACAUACCCAAAUUCACCAACUUCACAAUCACCACCACCAUCAUCACAACCACCACAAUUAUCAUCAUCUUCUUCAUUCUCCGGCGAUUCCUCGGUGGCCGCCGCCACCGCCUUCGAGCCUUCACUUUCAAACCUAACCCUAAAAACAAAGAAACCCUUUACUGUGCAGUAUGCCUACACAAUGUUGCCGGCGGCGAGAGGUGCCGGAAACUGCCUAAAUGCAACCACUGCUUCCACGUGGACUGCAUUGACCCGUGGUUCGAAACCCGGUCCACUUGCCCACUUUGCAGAACCAUAGUUCAUCAUCUUCCUACCAAGAAACAAAAACAGAAAACUGUUUUCUCUUGGUUUCUUUGGUUUUCCCACCUUAUUCUCAGGAAAAUUGGGAAUCUUGUUGUGGAUGGGAUUACCAAGGCCUUUUUGGAAGAUAGUUGAGGGUUGCCAGCUCAGUAAGCAGCUCUACGCACUCUUUCAAAGUCCCAGCGCAUAAUAGUAACCUACAAUGAUUCUACUUGGUUCCUUUUGUUGCAUUAUCACAUAAAUCAUUCACAUGCAUUUAUUUGGAUAGUGACGUAACAAUAGGUCCAGUUCCAAUAUUUGGACGAGUCUACUAGUCACUUCACAUGUAAAAUUGGUCCAUUAUGGCGACUAGUAUGUACCUUUGUAAAUGAUUCAAUCAUUCAUUUUAUGUAACAAGUUAAAACGAAUAAAUAUAUAAAAAUUUAUGAAUUGUUUAA